rnacentral:rRNA from 1 species
GAUCCUGCUCAGGAUGAACGCUAGCGACAGGCCUAACACAUGCAAGUCGAGGGGCAGCGGAGAGGUAGCAAUACCUUUGCCGGCGACCGGCGCACGGGUGAGUAACACGUAUGCAAUCCACCUGUAACAGGGGGAUAACCCGGAGAAAUCCGGACUAAUACCCCAUAAUAUGGGCGCUCCGCAUGGAGAGCCCAUUAAAGAGAGCAAUUUUGGUUACAGACGAGCAUGCGCUCCA